UACGGGGGGGGCAAGCGUUGUUCGGAAUUACUGGGCGUAAAGGGCGCGUAGGCGGUCAGACCAAGUCGAGUGUGAAAUUCCAGGGCUUAACUCUGGCGCGCUCGCUCGAUACUGGUCGGCUAGAGUGUGGAAGAGGAUGCUGGAAUUCCCGGUGUAGCGGUGAAAUGCGUAGAUAUCGCUUGGAACGCCAAUGGUGAAAACAGGUAGCUGGGGGUGUGCUGACACUGAGACACGAAAGCCAGGGGAGCAAACGGG
rnacentral:rRNA from 1 species